rnacentral:rRNA from 1 species
GACAGAGGCCUCAAGCGUUAGGCGGAAUCACUGGGCUUAAAGCGUGUGUAGGCGGGUCGUUAAGUACCUUGUGAAAUCCCACGGCUCACCCGUGGAACUGCUGGGUAUACUGGCGAUCUUGGGCCAACUAGGGGCAACUGGAACAAACGGUGGAGCGGUGAAAUGCGUAGAUAUCGUUUGGAACGCCAAAGGUGAAAACAGGUUGCUGGGGUUGUGCCGACG